rnacentral:lncRNA from 1 species
AAUGAUAGUUAAUUCUAGCUGAUUUGCCCUCUUUUAAUUAAAGUAAUUGUGACACUUUUUCCCCUCUAUUUUUUUUAUAGGCGAAGGCCAAGUCUCAAAAGAAGGCUGAAGCUAAGGCACAUCAUUGAAAGAUAACACAUGGUGGAUUUGCUGUUUGCUGAUAGAAUAAGAUACGACGAUUAAACUGUUAUCACUUUUAUCCUGAUGCUUAGAAUAAUUAGAUUCUGACUUGUAGCUGUUCAAUAUUGUGAUGAGAGCUUUUAGAUAGUUUUGUGGUUUUUAACGGUUCUGUGGUUUCUCGGUGAUCCAUUAUUUAGACAGAAUUAUAGAUCUGACUACAAAAAAAUCUUUUUUGUUAGACAAAUCACCCUGAGGCGUAAAAGGCCUUACAGUGAUGGUUGUCCAUGAGAGCUUUUAGAUAGUUUUGUGGUUUUUAACGGUUCUGUGGUUUCUCGGUGAUCCAUUAUUUAGACAGCAUUAUAGAUCUGACUACAAAAAAAUCUUUUUAUUAGACAAAUCACCCUGAGGCGAAAAAGGCCUUAAACUGAUGGUUAUCCAUCAAUCAUGGAGAUAUGUUAAUUUGCUGUCAUGCGGAGCUAAGAAUUUACUGUUGC